rnacentral:lncRNA from 1 species
AAAAGUUUGUUAUUCUAUGGUAUAGGCCUAAUUUAAAUUUAAUAGCUCAAGUACUGAAACUUCAUGAUUUUUGUUUUACAGGCAGCUUGGACUUCUUCAGUCCUAUCUGAAUCUGAAACAAAACUAUGGCCACAUCGAGAUGGCUGGUUUAGCAGCAGAAGUCACCACAGAGGGUCAUGUGUGGACUAAUGAUGCAACAAAAGUGAAAUUUAUUUGGGAUUAAAAGUUAACAGACCGUUGUGCAACCCGGUGAUAAUCUUGUAUUAAAGGAAGUUCUUAUGUAGCAA